ACUCAAUAGAUACCCAGGUAGUCCACGCCCUAAACGAUGUCUACUAGUUGUCGGGUCUUAAUUGACUUGGUAAACGCAGCUAAACGCGUGAAGUAGACCGCCUGGGGAGUACGGUCGCAAGAUUAAAACUCAAAGGAAUUGACGGGGACUCGCACAAGCGGUGGAUGAUGUGGAUUAAUUCGAUGCAACGCGAAAACCUUACCUACUCUUGACAUGGAUGGAAUCCCUGAGAGAUUGGGGAGUGCCCGAAAGGGAACCAUUACACAGGUGCUGCAUGGCUGUCGUCAGCUCGUGUCGUGAGAUGUUGGGUUAAGUCCCGCAACGAGCGCAACCCUUGUCAUUAGUUGCUACGAAAGGGCACUCUAAUGAGACUGCCGGUGACAAACCGGAGGAAGGUGGGGAUGACGUCAAGUCCUCAUGGCCCUUAUGGGUAGGGCUUCACACGUCAUGCAAUGGUACAUACAGAGGGCCGCCAACCCGCGAGGGGAGCUAAUCCCAGAAAGUGUAUCGUAGUCCGGAUUGUAGUCUGC
rnacentral:rRNA from 1 species